rnacentral:rRNA from 1 species
AGAGUUUGAUUCUGGCUCAGGAUGAACGCUAGCUACAGGCUUAACACAUGCAAGUCGAGGGGCAGCAUAAUCGAAGCUUGCUUGAUGAUGGCGACCGGCGCACGGGUGAGUAACGCGUAUCCAACCUUCCCCUUAGUAGGGCAUAGCCCGGCGAAAGUCGGAUUAAUACCCUAUGUUAUCCGUCGAGGGCAUCUGAAGUGGAUUAAAGAUUUAUCGCUAAGGGAUGGGGAUGCGUCUGAUUAGGUUGUUGGCGGGUAACGGCCACCAAGCCUACGAUCAGUAGGGGUUCUGAGAGGAAGGUCCCCCACAUUGGUACUGAGACACGGACCAAACUCCUACGGGAGGCAGCAGUGAGGAAUAUUGGUCAAUGGGCGAGAGCCUGAACCAGCCAAGUAGCGUGCAGGAUGACGGCCCUAUGGGUUGUAAACUGCUUUUGCAUGGGAAUAAAGUCGGGGACGUGUCCCCGUUUGUAUGUACCAUGAGAAUAAGGACCGGCUAAUUCCGUGCCAGCCGCAGC